rnacentral:rRNA from 1 species
AGAGUUUGAUCCUGGCUCAGGAUGAACGCUGGCGGCGUGCCUAAUACAUGCAAGUCGAGCGGAGUUUAGGAGCUUGCUCCUAAACUUAGCGGCGGACGGGUGAGGAACACGUAAGUAACCUGCCUAAGACACAGGGAUAACAGUGAGAAAUCAUUGCUAAUACUGGAUAAGCUCACAGGAACAAAAGUUCAAGGGAGAAA